rnacentral:rRNA from 1 species
AAAUUGAAGAGUUUGAUCAUGGCUCAGAUUGAACGCUGGCGGCAGGCCUAACACAUGCAAGUCGAACGGUAACAGGAAGCAGCUUGCUGUUUCGCUGACGAGUGGCGGACGGGUGAGUAAUGUCUGGGAAACUGCCUGAUGGAGGGGGAUAACUACUGGAAACGGUAGCUAAUACCGCAUAACGUCGCAAGACCAAAGAGGGGGACCUUCGGGCCUCUUGCCAUCGGAUGUGCCCAGAUGGGAUUAGCUAGUAGGUGGGGUAACGGCUCACCUAGGCGACGAUCCCUAGCUGGUCUGAGAGGAUGACCAGCCACACUGGAACUGAGACACGGUCCAGACUCCUACGGGAGGCAGCAGUGGGGAAUAUUGCACAAUGGGCGCAAGCCUGAUGCAGCCAUGCCGCGUGUAUGAAGAAGGCCUUCGGGUUGUAAAGUACUUUCAGCGGGGAGGAAGGGAGUAAAGUUAAUACCUUUGCUCAUUGACGUUACCCGCAGAAGAAGCACCGGCUAACUCCGUGCCAGCAGCCGCGGUAAUACGGAGGGUGCAAGCGUUAAUCGGAAUUACUGGGCGUAAAGCGCACGCAGGCGGUUUGUUAAGUCAGAUGUGAAA